ensembl:snRNA U6 U6 spliceosomal RNA
AUGCUUCCUUUGGCAGCGCAUUCACUAAAACUGAAAUAACACAGAGAGGAUUAGCAUGGCCCCUGUGCAAGGGUGACACACAAACUCAUGAAGCAUUGUGUAUUAAA